UGCUGAGGAGUCCCAUACUAGGACGAAACGGCCGUCCAGUGC
rfam:Schistosoma haematobium scaffold995_37, whole genome shotgun sequence.